GAUGAACGCUAGCGGCAGGCUUAAUACAUGCAAGUCGAGGGGUAGCAAGAUUGUAGCAAUACAAUUGUUGACGACCGGCAAACGGGUGCGGAACACGUACACAACCUUCCUACAAGUGGGGAAUAGCCCAGAGAAAUUUGGAUUAAUACCCCGUAACAUAGCGAUGUGGCAUCACAUUGCUAUUAUAGCUUCGGCGCUUGUUGAUGGGUGUGCGGCUGAUUAGAUAGUUGGCGGGAUAACGGCCCACCAAGUCUACGAUCAGUAGCUGAUGUGAGAGCAUGAUCAGCCACACGGGCACUGAGACACGGGCCCGACUCCUACGGGAGGCAGCAGUAAGGAAUAUUGGACAAUGGACGCAAGUCUGAUCCAGCCAUGCUGCGUGAAGGAUUAAGGUCCUCUGGAUUGUAAACUUCUUUUAUAAGGGACGAAAAAAGGUCUUUCUAGAUCGUCUGACGGUACCUUAUGAAUAAGCACCGGCUAACUCCGUGCCAGCAGCCGCCGUAAGAC
rnacentral:rRNA from 1 species